UUGGUGGGGUUUAAUAAUAUAUAGAAAUAAAAAUUUAAUAAGGCAACAAUAUAUAAGGUAAUAAAAACUUUUGGGGGCGGCUUAGGCGACAAACCUAAAAUUUUUUUUGGACUUGAUUAGGUUGGCAUAUAUGCUUGGUGCUUAAAUUUUUUUUUUUUUUUUCCAUUUUUCAUGCAGUCCGUUUUUUACCAAAUAAUUUUUUUUUUUCUUUUCAUUUUUUUAUCCCAUAUUAUAUGUUGGAAAAACAUGUAUAAUCACUUGUAUACACGAAAAACAAAUUCCAGGGCCGGCCCAAGCAGUUGCCUUGGGCCUCAAAUUUUAGAGGGCCUCAAAUUUUGAGGCCCAUAGGGGAUGGGAAAAAAAAAAUUAAGUUAGGAUUAGUCUUGGUCGCCUUGGGCCUCAAAUUUUGAGGCCCAUAGGGGAUGAAAAAAUAAAAAAAUAAAUAAAAAAAAAAAAGUUAGGGCAAGUUUCAGACGACACAAUCUGCUUCGGCACUCAGCAGGGCGCAUCCUCCGCUAUCGCCUCAGGUGACAAGGCCGAGGGAGGAAGACGAUGGAGAUCGUAGAAAGAAGAGAAGAGUACUCAUCAUUCAUCAAGUCCCUACCCAAUGAUGUCAUCAUGGACAUACUCUCACGGCUACCUGUCAAGUCCCUUGUACGUUUCGAGUGUGUGUCAAAGUCUUGGAUAGCUUUGCUCAAUGAUCCAUAUUUUGCGAAGAUGCAACUAAAUCGAUCCUAUGAGUGCAACAAAAACAAAAACGAAAAACAGUUUGUUUUUUCCCGUGUCUCUGAAGAAAGGGCGACCAUCGUUGUAUUUUCAGGCGAAAUUGUUGACCCAAUGUGGCCGAGUGGAAAAGUUGAUUAUCCUCCACUUGAUUUUGUGUGCCGACGGGGCAGGUUCUUGGGUUGUUGUGACGGAUUGAUAUUAUAUUCAACUUAUUCCUACACUUCUGCAGAAAAGCAACUUCACCUGGUGAAUCCUUCAACUAGAAAAGUCAAAAGAUUACACCCACCAUUCAAAUGUGAACCAGGUGGUUCUUAUGGGUUUGGCUAUGAUGCGUUAACUGAUGACUAUAAGGUUGUGCACAUCCCAUACUAUGUUGGAAAAACAUGUAUAACCACUUUGUAUACAUGAAAAACAAAUUCCUGGAGGAGAAUACAAGACAUCCCUUACCAUGUUACGUGCUCUGCACCUGCAGCACUUCUGAAUGGUGCUCUCCAUUGGUUAAGUGAGGACAUGAGUAAGAUAGUUUCUCUUAAUUUAGCGGACGAAAAGUUUCAAGUUUUUAUUCUACCAGAAUUUGGAACACGAUAUAUAGAAGCUUACUUGGUUACGGUUGUCGGAGGAUGUCUUUGUGUGUGUGUCACUAUUAGGGGGGAGUGGAACUGCUCUUCUGAAUUUUGGGUGAUGAAGGAAUACGGCAAGAGAGAGUCUUGGACUAAUCUUGGCUUUGCCAUUCCAAAGUAUUAAGUGAAGCCUUUGGAUUUCUCAAACAAUGAUAAUCUUCUCUCUCUGGUAAAUCAUUCCUUGCUUGUAUCUAAUGUAGAGAGAAAUACACAUAAUUCUGUAAGAAUUUGCUAUGAUUUUCCUCAACUGAUCCAUAGCCUUGGUCUUCCUGAAUCAUAUUAUGUUAAAGAUUCAGAGAAUUUUAUUACUUGUAUUAAAGUUGACGAUGCAGAGAAUUUUAUGGAAAGCAUUGUUUCACCAGUCAUCGUACCUUCGUAAUUUGGAGGCAAUAACAAGGACUGAAAAAGUGUGACAACAAGAGAUGUGAUGCAACAACAUGUUCAGUUCCAGAUUGGGGAUGGACAGCAUACAAUGUUAUUUAAGGAUCCUUGGUGUAAUGGUCAACUGUUCAGUGGUGUGUUUGGUCAUAGAGUGGUUCGGAGCUUACAGCUACACAGAGAUGCUACUGUCAGUUCUUUGAUUCAGAAUGGGGUUUGGGAUAAUCACAAUUUACGAAGUGAGAUUUUGACUCCAGUCAGAUUGUUUCUGCAGAAUGUAGUGAUCAAUGGGGUGGAGGAUAAGAUGAGGGACGUUUCUCAUUCAAAACAGCUUGGACUGGUAUUAGGAUAUCUGCUACUGAAGUACCUUGGCACAAAAUACGUUGGGGUAAGGCACGGCCCAGAUGGUCUGUUACAGCUGUGUUGGUUUUACUUGAUAGAUUGCCUUCUAUGGCGAAUUUGCAGAGAAGAAAAGUUGUUAUAGCAGCAAGGUGCACACUUUGCCAACAGAAUAUUGAUACUACUGACCACAUUUUUGUCUCCUGUCCAUUUUCACAGGGGGUUUGGAGGUGGUUAGGGGGUGUUUUAGGGUGGGAGCUGCAGCAGUUGCAGGAUCUUACCUCAUCUCUUCAUUUGGUUGGAUAAUCAGAAUUCCAAAAGACUUCAAAGUCUUUUUGCUGCUGGGGUAUGGUAUAUUUGGAGAGAAAGGAAUAAUAGACUCCAUGGUUCUAAUAGUUUUACUUCUGGAGGUAGUGGCUAGAUCUGCCUUCAUGGAAGUUUGUGUUAUCAAAAAUAUACAAUUCAAAUAUGAAAUAUCAACUCUAGUCUUGUCUGAUUGCUUAGAGUUGAGUUUGGUUUUUUGUUUUUGUACCGGAAAUGGCUUUUUCAUUAGGCCUUGUUUUUAGUAUUGUUUUUGUUUUCCUUUUCCUUUUCUGAGGGUGUGCUCCUGUAUUCAUGUUAAUUUUUUGAGCUCAAUACAACACCAAUUAAAGAUAUAAGAAGGCUAUAACUUAGAUA